CAGGGGGUAUUUUAUGUAAAAUAUUAGUUUUGGGGAUUAAUGAAAUGGUUUGACCUUUCCUCUGA
rnacentral:tRNA from 1 species